AACUUAAGCAUAUCAAAAGGCGGGAGGAA
rnacentral:rRNA from 1 species